ensembl:lncRNA
GAAGGGCAGGUGGGUGGAGGAAGGGCAGGAGGGUGGAGGAAGGGCAGGUGGGUGGAGGAAGGGCAGGUGGGUGGAGGAAGGGCAGGAGGGUGGAGGAAGGGCAGGUGGGUGGAGGAAGGGCAGGAGGGUGGAGGAAGGGCAGGAGGGUGGAGGAAGGGCAGGUGGGUGGAGGAAGGGCAGGUGGGUGGAGGAAGGGCAGGAGGGUGGAGGAAGGGCAGGAGGGUGGAGGAAGGGCAGGAGGGUGGAGGAAGGGCAGGAGGGUGGAGGAAGGGCAGGAGGGUGGAGGAAGGGCAGGUGGGUGGAGGAAGGGCAGGAGGGUGGAGGAAGGGCAGGAGGGUGGAGGAAGGGCAGGUGGGUGGAGGAAGGGCAGGUGGGUGGAGGAAGGGCAGGAGGGUGGAGGAAGGGCAGGAGGGUGGAGGAAGGGCAGGAGGGUGGAGGAAGGGCAGGAGGGUGGAGGAUCUUGUGUCUUUAGGCCACUUUGACUGUUUUUCUUUCUUGUUAUUUGCCGUUAGUGGGGAAGUCUACGGG